GCUGAUUACGUCCCUGCCCUUUGUACACACCGCCCGUCGCUACUACCGAUUGAAUGGCUUAGUGAGGCCUUCGGAUUGAAAUUCGGAGAUUGGCAACAGACUCUUGGUUUUGAAAAGUUGGACAAACUUGGUCAUUUAGAGGAAGUAAAAGUCGUAACAAGGUUUCCGUAGGUGAACCUGCGGAAGGAUCAUUACCGAUUUUUAGCGGACCUGAUCUUUGAUCAUGGUUUCGCGAAAACUUGUAUUUAAAACCCCACUCUUAUAAAUUGAAUCAUUUUAUAUUAUGUAUGUAAUAAAUAAAGAUCACUUUCAACAACGGAUCUCUUGGCUCUCGCAUCGAUGAAGAACGUAGCGAAGUGCGAUAAGUAAUGUGAAUUGCAGAAUUCCGUGAAUCAUCGAAUCUUUGAACGCAAAUUGCACUCUCUGGUAACCCGGGGAGUAUGCCUGUUUGAGGGUCAGUGUUAAUAAAAAUCGGUGCGUUGCAAUUUUUGUGAUGUUCCGGAGUUUGAGUUAUCUUAUCUUCUGGGUUUAAGAGGCUUAAAAUUGACCUUCUUUGUGCAUUUUAGACGUACAUAAAUUUUUUUUAUUCGUUUAUCUUAAUGCCAAAAUCUAUUAGAUGCGACCAUAUCGUGUGGUUCCGUGUCUAUAAAUUUUUCAUGAUUUGACCUCAAAUCAGGUAGGAACACCCGCUGAACUUAAGCAUAUCAAUAAGCGGAGGAAAAGAAAAUAACAAUGAUUCCCCUAGUAACUGCGAGUGAAGAGGGACAAGCUCAAAUUUUAAAUCUAUCGGGUUUUACCUGAUCGAGUUGUAAUUUGAAGAAGCGUUUUUUGCGUAUUUGGUCAGCCUAAGUCCUAUUGAAUGAGGCAUCAUGGAGGGUGAUAAUCCCGUCCGGUUGAUCAUUUGCGUUUUACGAUACGCUUUCUAAGAGUCAGUUGUUU
rnacentral:rRNA from 1 species